UCCGAGUUGACCCCGGCAGUCUCCUAUGAGUCCCCGACAUUACUCGCUGGCAACAUAGGACGAGGGUUGCGCUCGUUGCGGGACUUAACCCAACAUCUCACGACACGAGCUGACGACAGCCAUGCACCACCUGUAUACCGACCUUGCGGGGGCUACAUCUCUGCAGCUUUCCGGCAUAUGUCAAACCCAGGUAAGGUUCUUCGCGUUGCAUCGUAUUAAACCACAUACUCCACCGCUUGUGCGGGCCCCCGUCAAUUCCUUUGAGUUUCAGUCUUGCGACCGUACUUCCCAGGCGGUCAACUUCACGCGUUAGCUUCGUUACUGAACAGCAAGCCGUCCAACAACCAGUUGACAUCGUUUAGGGCGUGGACUAC
rnacentral:misc_RNA from 1 species